GUCGUUUUACGGUUUGAGCUGUUUGUCAGCCAUGCUUGCACUAAAGUAACAAAUGCAAACGCAACUGAUCAUGAUGUCAAGUGUACUUCGCAACUGGAAUUUUAUCGGAAUUUCAUUGUAUUAACCAUGAACUAUCAAAUAAAAAAAUUAACACGUUAUAAAUACCGUUGAAGUCGGUCCGUACUAAAAAUAUUUUCCCUCGGCCUCAAAAGCGUCCCUUGGCCUUC